rnacentral:lncRNA from 1 species
CAAAGAGCCAGGAGUUUCAGAGAUUCAAACUGGUCACACAGUGGAAAUGGCUAAAAUGAGGAAGUCGACUUCAUGCUGUUGCUUGCCAAGGAUUCCUGGCAUGUGCUGCAGUUGGGGUAACAGUCAGCUUACUCUACACAGAAGACAAAGGCAACGGACUGGAAAAGACCGACGAGAGGACACAUUGGAAUGAAGGCGAAAAAACACCAACACUGGCCAGAGAUGAGAGGCAGACAGGCAUGAAGCAGUUAAACAAACAAGACAGCUUGAAUUGGAG